GAGGGGCCUUGAGACAGGGAUGCGGGACCCUGGCGAAGAAGAGACCAGCUGGCCGGGCCUAGGGCCCUUGGCAGGCUCCUCAGCUGCCCGAGGAAGCCCUGCCCCAGACACAACGCACACAGCUCACAGCAGCCUGCAAGGGAGCACUGAUUAGUAAUUAAAAGGCUUAAAAAAAUAAGGCCAUUAAAGCUAAUGCCAUCACAAUCAGAACCUCCGACGGUGGCUCUAAUUAUGAGCGUAUCUGGAGACUCGGAGAGGGCGUUUCCAUUUCCGCACCUGCACGGCGCAGGCUCUGAUGCCUCCGCGCCCUUUGCUCCAUCAGGCGGGGGACCCACUGCCGAAUCUGUAUCUUUUCUAGCUUUACUCUGGCCCUAGAAAAAGCAGGUCACUCUGCGAGAACGCGAUGCGGAGCUGUGGGCUUUGGACACAUUUCCGGGGGUCUCAACGCCCGUCCAUAGGUCGUGCUAGGGACUCAAUUACUCAGUGCCUUUCUAAUCCCGACACAGUCUACGCUCCGUAGCCGUUGCCAUUAUUACACCUGGUGCUUGGCACCUAGUGGGCGCCUGAGCAUCGUGUACUGACCUGAGCACCAUCAGAAGCCGGUCCUGCGCAGGACUCUGCGGGGACCAGGGAGGAGGCACCGCCCAGCCCUUGAGCUUCCGGGCUGUAGAAGCAACAGAGGCUCCGACGCCAGGGUCAGAGGCAGCCUUGGCCUAGAAGGUUCGAUUCCCCCAACGCUCACCGACCUCUGUCUUGAUUCCGAGCUAAAGGGGUUUCCCUCAUCCAACAUCCUUGUCCUGGAAAGAGCCUGUGGACCGCAGAACUUUUCUUCGUGAUUGAGAGCAGCCAGUGGGAGUUCAGAACCAGACAGCAGCCCAGUGAACGAGGCAGCUGCAUUCCAGCAGUUCACUGCUGUGUGACGGUGGCCCUGCCACUUUGCCUCUCUGGGCCUAUUCUGUAACAGGAGAGAUUUGGACAAGACAAGCUCAGCUGCCCUCCCAGCCUUGACUCUCUGAUUCUAUCUAUGCAAGCUUUUGUAUCCUCUGAAAUUUUUGAAAAAGAAAGCAUCUGCCCUUGGUACACUGGCUCACAGAGACUUUCAGUUCUCAUCAUUUCCCCCGGAGACUUCAUUGUCCACAGGCUAAGAAACAAAAGUUUGGGAGCCCUUUAAAAUUUAUAUAUAAAAUAUCAGGGCCAGACAGGCCAUUUUCAGACAGUCCCUGGGGCCUAGUCAGCUAUUAAAGAUGGAAAUUAUAUAUUCAUA
rnacentral:lncRNA from 1 species